AAAAGAGAGAGUCCAAUCCAUUAUAUCAAACAGGGUCCAAAAGGAGUACAAAGUAAAAACAAAUAUAGACCUAAGAAGACUUAGCCCCUAACGUACACAGAGCCCAAGCUAGGCCCAAAAGCUAAACAGGAAAAUGCCCUCAUCAGUCAAGCCCAGUCCAAAAGAUUGUUGCCCUAAUUCGAAAAGCAGACCCGAAACUGGAUGGCAACCAAGAUCUUCGUUGAAGCGACACUGUUGGGUUCAUCUUUUGUCGAAUAGAAAGUGCCGGAUCUGCACAGGAGUUUUCAGCAGAGACAGGAGCUCCACCAAAGAAAACGACAUGCAGAGACAAAAACACCAAAGGUUUAAGGCAAUUGUGGAGAAGCCCAACACAUGAGGCAAAGGACAGAUCUUGACGGGGAGGGAAAUUGGACAAAAUGACAGGUAGAGCUCCGCAGUCUCAUUCUCUCUUAGCAUUUGGGACCGGGAUACCAGCUGGUAGAUGUGGCACCGUGAUCGUCUCUGGGAUAGCCAGCCGUCUGCUUCCUCCAAACACACAACUCAACAGCAUCACUCGCCGAAGGAAUGGUCAAGAAGACCUGCAAAAGCACAUGCAAAACUACAAACACAAGUAACCUCAAACAUAAGCAGAUACCAAAAAACCCCUCACCAAUAACCCCAUACCUACUGAAGAAAUCAAUAAAAAAAAAAAUAUCUACAUCCCUCCAAUGGUGGGGAGAGCAGAACCCACGACUGGAGGAAAAGCAAGGCUUCCCCUAACUGGAAGGAGGGGAGGAAGCGAAUUGGAAUGGCAGAGAAAAUAGACGGGAGAGAAUUCUCUCUCUAAAACAACUGAGUUUCAUGUUUAUUUAAGUUGAAAAAUGACAUUUAAAUCAAUAAUCGUUAAAUUUAUAUAAAUUUAAAAUAUUCAAAUUUAAAUGAACCAUAAAAUUAAGAGUUAAUUUAAUUAUAUGUAUUAUUUAAUUUGAAAUUAAUCGUGUUUACGUGGAUCGCUUGCCAGUAGCUUCCGUGAUCAAGAUAUCAC
rnacentral:lncRNA from 1 species